rnacentral:rRNA from 1 species
GAUGAACGCUGGCGGCGUGCCUAAUACAUGCAAGUCGAGCGAACAGACGAGGAGCUUGCUCCUCUGACGUUAGCGGCGGACGGGUGAGUAACACGUGGAUAACCUACCUAUAAGACUGGGAUAACUUCGGGAAACCGGAGCUAAUACCGGAUAAUAUAUUGAACCGCAUGGUUCAAUAGUGAAAGACGGUUUUGCUGUCACUUAUAGAUGGAUCCGCGCCGCAUUAGCUAGUUGGUAAGGUAACGGCUUACCAAGGCGACGAUGCGUAGCCGACCUGAGAGGGGGAUCGGGCACACUGGAAAUGGGACACGGGCCCGACUCCUACGGGAGGCAGCAGUAGGGGAUCUUCCGGAAAGGGCGGAAGCCUGACGGAGCAACGCCGCGUGAGUGAUGAAGGUCUUCGGAUCGUAAAACUCUGUUAUUAGGGAAGAACAAAUGUGUAAGUAACUAUGCACGUCUUGACGGUACCUAAUCAGAAAGCCACGGCUAACUACGUG